UCAGUGCGCUGAGCGUCCAAGCGGCGCAGAGUGAGCUCGAGCGUCGCGACGGUUAGCGAAAAUUAUGUUUCGUUUCAUUUCUCUAGUUCGAAAAACGAAAAAAUUAACGUUGAAUGACGGUUGAAAAGAAAAAAAAAAUUCUGUUAUAUUAUCGAAAUUUAAUACCAAAGACGAAAGUAUUUUGUAUUCGUUAAGUCUUCGAGUUGAGAUAUACAAAAUUCGGCUUUUUGUUCCAUCAUUAUUGCCUUCGAUGAUCUGUCAAAUGAAAGAGAAUGAAUCAAUGAACAGAUACGGUCCUCUCGUCGGUGCUAUUGACGAAGGGACGAGUAGCGCUAGAUUUCUUGUUUUUGCUGCGAAUACGGCAGAAGUAUUGACCUACCAUCAAGUGCCGAUAUCUCAAUCUUAUCCCAAAGAAGGAUGGGUGGAACAGGAUCCGAUAGAAAUUUUAAAUGCCGUCAAAGAAUGUCUCAGUCAAACGGUUUACAAUUUGCAACAAUUGACCAUCGACCAUUCGGAUAUUGUUUCUAUCGGAGUCACCAACCAGAGAGAAACCACUGUUGUCUGGGACUCUGUUACUGGAGAACCAUUAUAUAACGCCAUUGUAUGGAUGGAUAUGCGAACAACCUCUAUUGUAGAUGAUAUACUCAAAAAAGUUCGUAAUCAAAAUAAAAACUACCUCAAACCGCUCUGUGGAUUACCAAUAAGUCCUUACUUCAGUGCACUGAAGCUCAAGUGGUUAUUAAACAACGAGCCGAAAGUUCAAAAUGCCAUAGCUAAUAAGAGAUGCAUGUUCGGGACUAUAGACUCCUGGCUCAUCUGGAAUCUUACCGGAGGAAUCAAUGGCGGUGCUCACUGCACAGACGUGACAAAUGCUUCGCGUACAAUGCUUAUGAAUAUAACUACUCUCAAGUGGGAUCCGACAUUGUUGAAAUUUUUCGACAUACCAAUUGAUAUUCUGCCUCGUAUACGAAGCUCCUCCGAAAUUUAUGGACACAUACAUGAUGGGAUGCUUCGAGGGGUCCCUAUCUCAGGAUGUUUGGGUGAUCAGCAGGCUGCUCUUGUCGGUCAAAUGUGUUUACAAAAAGGUCAAGCAAAAAGCACCUAUGGAACCGGAUGUUUUUUACUAUACAAUACGGGGACAGCGAUCGUCGACUCGUCACACGGUUUGUUAACAACGGUAGCUUAUCAAUUGGGAGCAAACAAUCCACCGAUAUACGCUCUGGAAGGCUCCGUAGCGAUAGCCGGAGCGGUUAUGCAAUGGCUCAAAGAAAAUCUCGGUAUGCUUUCGGAUGUGAAAGAGUGCGAGAGCAUCGUUGAGAAAAUUCCAUCCGACAAUCGCGUGACUUUUGUGCCGGCUUUUGCCGGUUUGUAUGCACCAUAUUGGCGAAAAGAUGCGAGAAGCGUUAUUUGUGGAUUAACGGAAGACACAACGAGCGAACACAUAGUGAAAGCAGCACUGCAAGCGAUAUGCUUUCAAACCCGUGAUAUUCUCGAGGCCAUGACGGAAGACACCGGUUUAAUUCUGUCGAAACUGUUAGUCGACGGUGGAAUGACGAAUAACAGUUUAUUAAUGCAGAUGCAAGCUGACAUUUGCGGGAUUCCAGUGGGAAGUCAGGCCACUUAUGUGUGAAACGACUGCCCUUGGAGUUGCUAUAGCGGCGGGAAGUGCCGAAGGCAUUAGAAAAUGGGACCUGAGACUGGACGUCCCAGUGCCGAGUGACACUUUUGUUCCCUCCAUUACGGAAAACGAACGAGAUAUUCUAUAUUCGCAAUGGAAAAAGGGGAUUGAAAGAAGCUUGGGAUGGGAAACUUCGGAAGAUAAAAAUG
rnacentral:misc_RNA from 1 species